GCGCCCGUGGCUCAAUGGAUAGAGCGUCUCGUUACGGCCGAGGAGGUUGGGGAUUCGAGUUCCUCCGGGCGCA
rnacentral:tRNA from 1 species